CCCGUACCCGUGUAUGUGCGUCCAUGAUGAAUCCAUUGUGCUAACCAUCCAAAACCGUCGUGACCGAUCCCUUCGGGGUGAGGCGUUGACGGGGCUGCGUGGGACCCCGGUGGGUAGUAGUCAAGCGAUGGGGUGACGCAGGAAGGUAGCCGUACCAGUCAGUGGUUGUACUGGGGGUAAGCCGGUAGGGAGUCAGAUAGGCAAAUCCGUCUGGCAUUAAUCCUGAGAGGUGAUGCAUAGCCGUUUGAGGCGAAUUCGGUGAUCCUAUGCUGCCAAGAAAAGCCUCUAGCGAGGACAUACACGGCCCGUACCCCAAACCAACACAGGUGGUCAGGUAGAGAAUACUAAGGCGUACGAGUGAACUAUGGUAAAGGAACUCGGCAAAAUGCCCCCGUAACUUCGGGAGAAGGGGGACCCCCAGAUCGACAACGCUCUUGCGGCCGGCAGCGGGAGGGGGUGGCACAAACCAGUGAGAAGCGACUGUUUACUAAAAACACAGGUCCGUGCGAAGUCGCAAGACGAUGUAUACGGACUGACGCCUGCCCGGUGCUGGAA
rnacentral:rRNA from 1 species